rnacentral:rRNA from 1 species
CCUACGGGGCGCAGCAGUGAGGAAUAUUGGUCAAUGGCCGGAAGGCUGAACCAGCCAUGCCGCGUGAAGGUCAGUGCCCUAUGGGCGUUAAACUUCUUUUGUGCGGGAGCCAUAAUGGUCACGUGUGGCCAGUCGCGAGUACCGUUCGAAUAAGCAUCGGCUAACUCCGUGCCAGCAGCCGCGGUGUUACGCGGGAUGCAAGCGUUAUCCGGAGUUAUUGGGGGUAAAGGGUGCGUAGGCUGUGAGUUAAGUGAGAGUUGAAAUGCCCCCGCUCAACGGGGUGACGUGCCAUUGAUACUGACUUGCUGGAAUGGGGAUGACGUAGGAGGAAUGUGUGGUGUAGCGGUGAAAUGCUUAGAGAUCAUACAGAACACCGAUUGCGAAGGCAGCUUACCAAACUAUAACUGACGUUGAGGCACGAAAGCGUGGGUAGCAAACAGGAUUAGAUACCCGAGUAGUC